GGCAGGUAUUUAAGAGGUCGAAGUCGGGCCGGGCCGGCUGGACGCCAUGCUGUUCACCGAGACUGCCCACUUCGUGGUGAAUUUUCUUCUGUCCCGGUGGAAGCACCGAUGGCAGAAUAUUAACUACCAAUUCCUGGGCAAGAGGAAAAGACAUCUAGUUCCCCUGCGCCCGUGAGAUCUGGAAGAGUUUUUACAAGAUUGACAGAUUUGACUGUAUUAAAAUUUCUGUUCAUCAGAAGGGACCUAAAAAGGUAAAAUAAU
rnacentral:lncRNA from 1 species